rnacentral:rRNA from 1 species
CCUACGGGAGGCAGCAGUGGGGAAUAUUGGACAAUGGGCGAAAGCCUGAUCCAGCAAUGCCGCGUGAGUGAUGAAGGCCUUAGGGUUGUAAAGCUCUUUUACCCGGGAUGAUAAUGACAGUACCGGGAGAAUAAGCCCCGGCUAACUCCGUG